GAGAAGAUGAACCACAAAUUGACACUGAAAUGAUCAAUGGAAUUAUCAAAUCCCUUCAGGCUAUCCCUGAUGCAGUUCUCAACACAACAAUUAUGAUUUUAUGAUGUUAGGCUAAACUAUAAAGCAAUCAUUCUUUGUGUUAGGAAACGUUUCAGAGCUUCUUCAAGCAGCUUAAUGAUGAGUUACUGAAACAAGAAGGUGCCCCUUUAUAGCAAUGUAGUAUUAGGUUAUAUAGUUAGGGAAAACCUCUUAAUAACAACGUACAAUUAGAUCCCCUUAAUAUCAAUGUAUUACAAUUUUAUGACAUUAUGUUAUUGAAUGAAAUUGAUUGUGCAA